GACGGAGGGUGCAAGCGUUGUUCGGAAUUACUGGGCGUAAAGGGCGCGUAGGCGGCCCUGCAAGUCGGAUGUGAAAUCCCACGGCUCAACCGUGGAAGUGCAUUCGAAACUGCAGGGCUAGAGUCCUGGAGAGGAAGGUGGAAUGCUUGGUGUAGAGGUGAAAUUCGUAGAUAUCAAGCGGAACACCGGUGGCGAAGGCGGCCUUACUGGACAGUGACUGACGCUGAGACGCGAAAGCGUGGGGAGCAAACAGG
rnacentral:rRNA from 1 species